UAGGGAAUCUUCGGCAAUGGACGGAAGUCUGACCGAGCAACGCCGCGUGAGUGAAGAAGGUUUUCGGAUCGUAAAGCUCUGUUGUAAGAGAAGAACGAGUGUGAGAGUGGAAAGUUCACACUGUGACGGUAUCUUACCAGAAAGGGACGGCUAACUACGUGCCAGCAGCCGCGGUAAUACGUAGGUCCCGAGCGUUGUCCGGAUUUAUUGGGCGUAAAGCGAGCGCAGGCGGUUAGAUAAGUCUGAAGUUAAAGGCUGUGGCUUAACCAUAGUACGCUUUGGAAACUGUUUAACUUGAGUGCAAGAGGGGAGAGUGGAAUUCCAUGUGUAGCGGUGAAAUGCGUAGAUAUAUGGAGGAACACCGGUGGCGAAAGCGGCUCUCUGGCUUGUAACUGACGCUGAGGCUCGAAAGCGUGGGGAGCAAACAGGAUUAGAUACCCUGGUAGUCCACGCCGUAAACGAUGAGUGCUAGGUGUUAGACCCUUUCCGGGGUUUAGUGCCGUAGCUAACGCAUUAAGCACUCCGCCUGGGGAGUACGACCGCAAGGUUG
rnacentral:rRNA from 1 species